CCAGCUGGCUGGGCGGCCGCACCCGCAAACGCCGAAAGGUCGUGGGUGAGGAAAGUCCGGGCUCCAUGGAAACACGGUGCCGGUUAAUGGCCGGCGGGGGCGACCCCAGGGAAAGUGCCACAGAAAGCAAACCGCCACGAUCCGGCUUGCCGGAUUCGGGGCAAGGGUGAAAGGGUGGGGUAAGAGCCCACCGCGCGACUGGCAACAGGAGCGGCACGGUAAACCCCACCGGGAGCAAGACCGAAUAGGGACGGUGCGAGGGGAAACCCUCGAGGGCUGUUUCCGGCUCACCGUCCGGGUAGGUUGCGUGAGGCGCAUGGCAA
rnacentral:RNase_P_RNA from 1 species